AGAGGUAUAGCUCAGUGGUAGAGCAUGUGAAUAGCAUGCACAAGGUCCUGGGUUCAAUCCUGGGUACCUCCA
rnacentral:tRNA from 1 species